AACAACCCUCCGUGUCUAAUCUAAUAGUUCGCCAUGUCCCUCACGUUGCUCCCUGAUUUCGCCGGGUGCCCAGAUCCGCCACUGGUCAUUGCGCGCCGCCGUGCUCCCGGUAGCCCCUGGCCAUGAGCGGCAACUGACCCUGCUGCCUGCCUGCCGUGCAGGACCUGUGCUCCCGGUCCCCCAGCCCUCCGCAUGGCACCUGGUGGUGUCCCGCCGCCGCUCAUUGGUUGGCGCACAGGCUCUCCUCCAUGCGGCAGGUGGCAGUACCUUCUGAUUUUCAGGAAAGUUAG
rnacentral:lncRNA from 1 species